GAGACACGUGCGGCAGAGCUAAGCGGGCUACGCGCUCAAUUUUUAAUGCAAAUCCUUGAACUUCGUAUCGUACGUAUACGUAAGGUUUGUAUUCGACGUUUCACCGCGCGCCGAAGCGCAUACACGCAGGAUUAUUUUCGGGCCUCGGACGCGGUCGUUAACGAGAGGUGGUUUCUUUCCUUAUUUACAUUUUUUUAGAAAGAAAGAAAAUAUUUAUACCUUACAUACGCUGCUGCUGCACGCGUGCAACCUGCACAGCUAUAUAACGUCAAAUCAAUGAAACGUGGGGGAGAAUAUAAGUAUGGAGAAAGUAUGCUGCUGCUGCGCGCGUCACGUCAGAAAUAACAAUGUAAACAAUAGUGGAUAGAUAGAUACACACUCGGCUUGAGAAACAAAUGAGUCUCUCGAGGAAAAGUGCGGCGCGCGGCACUGGCCUGCUGCAGAUGAAAGUUUUUCGUCCUCUCUCUCUGUCACGCACACACACACACCGAUCAUCGAUCGGCAUUCGCGAUAGUUGAUAAUUUAGUUUAUUAGUUCCCUCCGUACGUCGCCAUGUCCACGAGAAAAAGUCAGUAUCGCGUGCGUAAGAUUUAUACACACAUAUAAUAUUAAUAUUUGAAAUAUAAUUUCGAUGCGACAUUUAUUGAGCUUAUAAAUCGCGAUUAUAAAUGGAAUUAUAACGUCUAUACGAUUAAAAUCUGCCACUGCUGCGGUAUUGCCGCGCUGCGUUAAUAAUACGUUAUAUAUAUUUUAUAUAGUUUCGUUAACCGAUACAUAUAUAAUCAAUCGUCGAUUAUACAGUACGUCAUCGCGAUGAAAUGAUUAUGAAGGAAAGUCUCGCGCAGUGAUCGCGAUGACGCAUUUAUAAACGCGAGACGCCGAUUUUUCUGCAUCAAGGUUCUCAAUUCGCAGCAAAGAGAGAUAGAUCCAAGAAGCGAUAGAGACGGCGGCGGCGAAUUAUAGAAAAACAAACGCGGAAGAGAGGAGGCUAGCUUUACAACGUAUGUACGGCCGAGCGAGCGAGGAGAGAAUGAAACAUCGAUUCGGAAACUUUUCAGCGUAUUAUACGUACGCUUCGUGUCGAUAUAUUAUAACGUUUUUCGGCAACACAGAGCUCGGAGUGGAAGAAGAAGUUGAAGAAGGCGAGGAGGAGCAGCAGCAGUCUGGCAGUCCGACAAAGGCCAUUGAGCUUGCCUUCUGCCAACUCGUGUGUGUGUAUAAAAGCUCUCUCUGUCUCUCUUGCGACGCGGCGGCCGAUAUCACAUGUGUGUGUGCGCUGUUGUAAAUGUGUCGGUGCGAGCGCUACGUUUGCUCUAUAUAAGAGCGUGAAGUAUCGUAUGCUUUAGCUUUUUCUUCAUUCUACCGCGUAAUUUGCACACUUUAUCGUUUUCUUUCUCUCUCUCUCGAUCUCAAUCUCGAUCUAUCAAAGAGAGUUCGACCACAUUUUCGCCGUCUUAUGACGCAUGCAGGUCGAGUAUACGAACAGGAGGAGACGUCGCGACGCCCCUGGAUCAGCGCACCCCGGUAUUUGCCCAAGAGCUUGCAAGCUCGAAGUACCAUCGUCGUCGCAGCUUCCAGACGUGUCUCUCGAUGACUAUGUACUUGGUUGAUUCUACGUGCACCUUUGUGAUCGUGUUUAUCUUUUUCGUUUUUCUGCUUCUUCUAAUGUAUUUAUAAUGUUUUCAUAUAAUGUUUUAAAAUGUUUGAAUCUUUAUGGAUGUUUUCUGUAAGGCUAUACAGGACGAUUAAGUCUUUAGCCUCAUAAUAAAUCUAUCUACAUCAAGUUCAGCCCUCUC